GGACACUACAGCAUGGGAGCUUUCAGAGGCUGCCACGCCAGCAUCAGUGAUUGUCUCCGGUGAUGGAGCGCACUCUGCUCCAUGUUGAAGCAACACAGGAGCAGUCUCCUUAUUUCAGCAGAGGGCAGCAGUGUUGCUGUGAGCCUAAAGAUAUAAAGAAAAGGAGGACUUGUAACAAGAGGAGAAAGAAGCAGGAAAAUUAUAUAUAAUGAUGUAGCAACUCUAACAGCGCUGAUCCUCC